UUGAUAUUUUUGCAGAAACAGAAAUAAAGUUUGCAAAGUUAUAAACCUAGGAACCUUGUAUUGUUUAUGUCAGAGAACCAAAAUAAAUGAUUGAUUGAAAUGGAGAAAAUACCUGACUGGUAACUUUCACAAUCCGCACUCUGACUGGAGUCCUGAAAGUUGAGACCAGAAAAACUCGGAAAAUUUGCAUACUGAAGCAAUAUCGGUACAAAAAUAACUGACAUUGUUAUUUGUUAUCAUGAUUAUGGUAAUGUGUUCCUUGUCUGUACCAGUAUCGUUAGUGGGGGCAGGAUGAAAGGAAUAUAUUUAUAAAUUCAUAUACCAUUGGAAUAAAGUCCUGUACUACUAAAUCUCAUGGACUGCAAUACUAGGAUUUACUCAUCUGAGGCCUAUACAGACCUAGCAAGAGAAGAACCUUCAUACAGGAAAUUUGAGAAAGCAUUUCUCUCAUCUGCUAUGAAGAUGGACAGUUGGACACCAGUCGAAAAUGACAACGUCCUCAUCAAGAUUGUUGUACGAAUAAAUAGAUCCAGAAAAACUGCUCUGACAUGCCGCAACAUCAUUCAUCAUCAAUAUCAUUUAACUGUAUUUCACAGAUCUUUAAACAACCUGAGAAUACGUGUAUAUUAAUUAUUAAAUGCUAAUUACAAACUUAUGUCACAGGGUUUUGUGGAGAAUUUUUUUUCGAUUGAUUUUUUUUGGCAGUGGUUUGUGGUAUGAUUAUGCUUACUUCUUACACUCUUGACCGAAUAUGAAAGUCCUAUAUUUUUCAGUGGCACAGAGGGCAAAGUUUUGUUUUUGUAUUUUUCCAUUGUGGUAAUUUUCUUACUAUAGUAUAUAAAACAAGUCUUGACGUGAACAUUGCACUAUAUUGGCAGUGCGCUAGGAGGAGGCCAUCAUAUAGCGAUUUGGACCAUAUUACUACACACACCUAAUCUAGCUAGUGUGGUGAAGCAUUACCUGAACAUGGCUUUCUACAAUAGGUUUUUAUACUUUUAACCACUGCGAAUAUCACGCAAUUAGUAUGGCAUGUAUUUGGAGGUCGUUGAGCUUGAAUGGCAGUGUAGUCGCCUAAAAAAAAAAUCAAACCUGACGUUCUGAAGGGCAGUCUAAUAUGUCUUCUACUAAGGAGGCCGUUCAGAUAAAUGUUGGGAACCUGUAACCCUCCCUAUAUCUAAUUUUGAGUAACAAAAUGUAGAUUGUAAUACUUCUAACGUAACCACUGAACAAUAUGUAAACAAGAUGUUUUCAACAUUCUACAUAAAACAAGUCCAUUUUACGAUAUAUGCUGUGUAAGUAACCUCGACAAUUGAUCAGUUAACUCGCGGUCAAUCUUCAAUUUUAUAUGUUAUUUAGAUCAAUUUGAAUGUGCAAACUUGAUAAUAAAUUAAAACAUUGAUA